GGAUUUCGUCAUCUUUCUACUCGAGGUGCGCGAGUGACGAAGUGGAGUAGGACGAUGAUGAGCGUAUGAUGAUGAGGUGGGUGUGGUGACGGUUGCCGCCGUUACCUUGGUGUUGGGUCACGGAGGGACUGGUAAGAAGCAGAGACGAGGUCGACUUCGUAAGGAAGGUGUUGGGGUUUGAGGGCAGCACCGUCGUACCGUGUCUGACAACGGUGACCCUCCCACAACCGACGCUGUCCCGGAGACCAGUCCACUAGUGAAACCUGGAGCCACUAGCAUUGGACGCCUCGUGGUCACCAGAGUCGGGUCGUUAUAAGUUGGAGUGGAGGGAGUGUUUAGAGUCGGAGAGACCAUUGCUGAAACCGGACUGGUCGGAAGGACCAAAACCCAAACUCGCCGACUAACUCGAAGAGUCAGAGCUAAACAUAUUACGCACAAAACGACCAGUCUAUGGAUAACCUUAACGGGUGGAGUUCUUAAACGCAAGGGAACUAGAAAGGAUAUUAUUAGACAUAGAAGUUCUGGGUUCAAAGGUUUGGCAGUAUCGUUUGGACUCGUUAGACUCUCUCGAGAUAGAACUAUCUCACCCGUAGAAUUCAUCGUUUCGUUUAACCAGGCAACGAAAUCGUCUGAGACAAGGAGAUGAUGUCUUAUAAUCAAACAGCCUCACACUUGAUUCAUCAGGCUAAGUGGUAAGUAAGAGGGCUGAGGCAAAAGAUUGCUACUAGUUGGAGCGUAUAUUACUUUAAAGUCCUGUCCAAGGACCCAAGAAACGCCUUAAGAGAAAGAAUUCUCUGGAACGGGAACCCCUUUUAAUAAAACUUCCCGUUAAAGGGUGUUUCUAAAAGGUCGAUCUUUUAGACUCACAAGAACUAAACAGAUUGUUAAAGCCAGAAUGACACGUGGAUGGUCUAAAGAGUAGUCCUUCAUUAAACCUUAUAAAUCUAGACUCCCCAAGUUUAUAAAAGCCCCGGUAUGGUCUGGGAAAACAGGUAGAGUUCAGGAACUUUAAGAACCCGGAAUCGUCGUAUCUUGGAGGGCUCGUUGGGUGAUGAAGGUAUCGAUUGGAAUGUAGGGAUUUACCUAACACCGAGAGACCUAGUCCUCAUCUCUUCGGUAUCGAGAGAACCUAACCUUCUAAAUUCUUGGACUGUAUAAACAGCGACCUACCGAUAUUAAAGAGACCCGGUUAAGGGACCACCUAGUCUUUGACAUGUUUAGACUAUUCGAAUCUCGAGUCACUAACGUCAAAUAGACCCCGUUAUGGGAGCACCUAACCCUUGAACUGGCUCGAAAGUAAAAACUUGAAUGUCUNNNNNNNNNNNNNNCCGUUUUAGGGUUACCCGUUCGAAAGUAUAAACCUAAAUAGUGUUUUAUCCGACUCGCCUCCUACUGCUGCUGCACCUGAUGCCGUACCUGUCGUCCGUGUUGUUCUCGGCGAUGUGGGACUCCGUAGACUAACGACCGUUCUAGUUCAUGGCAAAGAAACCGUUCUAACCCACGGGAAAGACAACGUUCCACUAGCCACCGCCGUAUCUACCGUACUAGGUCGUACGGUAGUCGUGAUCGUUACCUGUACCAUACUUCGUAUGCCGGUCAUGAGACCGAUUUGUACGCCGGAUGCGUGCGAAGGAGCUCUAACAGUUUCAGUUACUCGGGAUGUUGGAGGUAACUUCUUCCCUCUCUUCACUACACGACGAUCUCACGACGACGACGGGGUCCUGGCAGCACAGGAGAAUACAAUAGAUACAAAGAAACAACAAGCUGAGAUUUUGACUACAGGAUACCACACAGACUUGGAUACGACACUCCACCAGAAGUACAGCAAAUAGAAUUCUCAAACGACGAUGAGACCAAAUCACAAGGUUCAACAAUUAUGAUAAAACCACUACGUACAAUUCGGAACAUGUUACAAUCUACGAAUCCCACCACGAAUCUUUUUAUUUAUCCCAAAAAGACUUCGUGGCCACGGAUAAAGAUGUCCUCUCUGC
rnacentral:rRNA from 1 species